CAGCGCCAGCGCCGCCCGGCCCACCAGCCUCCCGGACGAUGGCCAACCUCGAGCGCACCUUCAUCGCCGUCAAGCCGGACGGCGUGCAGCGCGGCCUGGUGGGCGAGAUUAUCAAGUGCUUCGAGCAGAAGGGGUUCCGCCUCGUGGCCUUGAAGUUACUUCGGGCCUCUGAGGAACACCUGAAGCAGCACUACAUUGACCUGAAAGACCGCCCAUUCUUCCCUGGGCUGGUGAAGUACAUGAACUCAGGCCCCAUUGUGGCCAUGGUCUGGGAGGGGCUGAAUGUGGUGAAGACAGGCCGAGUGAUGCUUGGGGAGACCAAUCCAGCGGAUUCUAAGCCAGGCACCAUUCGUGGGGACUUCUGCAUUCAAGUUGGCAGGAACAUCAUUCAUGGCAGCGACUCAGUGAAAAGUGCCGAAAAAGAAAUCAGCCUAUGGUUUAAGCCUGAAGAAUUGGUUGACUACAAGUCUUGUGCUCAUGACUGGUUCUAUGAAUAAGAGGUGGACAAGGUUGUAGUCCCUUUCAGCACCGCUUGGUAUGUCCCUGGACACAGCUCUUCAUUCCACUGACUUGGAAGCAAUAGUAUUGAUCAUUCUUUUCUAAAGCAUAUUUACCAAUAAAGCGUCUGGAAACUGGAAAAAAAAAAA